rnacentral:rRNA from 1 species
UACGUAGGGCGCAAGCGUUGUCCGGAAUUAUUGGGCGUAAAGAGCUCGUAGGCGGCUUGUCACGUCGGGUGUGAAAGCCCGGGGCUUAACCCCGGGUCUGCAUUCGAUACGGGCUAGCUAGAGUGUGGUAGGGGAGAUCGGAAUUCCUGGUGUAGCGGUGAAAUGCGCAGAUAUCAGGAGGAACACCGGUGGCGAAGGCGGAUCUCUGGGCCAUUACUGACGCUGAGGAGCGAAAGCGUGGGUAGCAAACGGG